UGGGGAAUUUUGGACAAUGGGCGCAAGCCUGAUCCAGCCAUGCCGCGUGCGGGAAGAAGGCCUUCGGGUUGUAAACCGCUUUUGUCAGGGAAGAAAUCCUUUGAGCUAAUACCUCGGGGGGAUGACGGUACCUGAAGAAUAAGCACCGGCUAACUACGUGCCAGCAGCCGCGGUAAUACGUAGGGUGCGAGCGUUAAUCGGAAUUACUGGGCGUAAAGCGUGCGCAGGCGGUUCGGAAAGAAAGAUGUGAAAUCCCAGAGCUUAACUUUGGAACUGCAUUUUUAACUACCGGGCUAGAGUGUGUCAGAGGGAGGUGGAAUUCCGCGUGUAGCAGUGAAAUGCGUAGAUAUGCGGAGGAACACCGAUGGCGAAGGCAAUCCCCUGGACCUGUACUGACGCUCAUGCACGAAAGCGUGGGGAGCAAACA
rnacentral:rRNA from 1 species